GUACAACUGAAGUUCCUUCUGGGCUACUAAAAGGGAAAUUGUCUGCUGGGAAAUGGGAUCAAAUUUUAACAAGAACAGCUGUGACAGCUCCAGUCCAUCACUUAACAUCUCUCUAACUUCCAUAAUAAUGUAGUGUAAUGAUUGACUAAUAACAAAUCUAAAUGAAUACA